GUAGUCAUUACGCUCGUCUCAAAGAUUAAGCCAUGCAUGUGUAAGUAUAAAUAAUUUUACUUUGAAACUGCGAAUGGCUCAUUAUAUCAGUUAUAGUUUAUUAGAAAUACUUUACUACUUGGAUAACCGUAGUAAUUCUAGGGCUAAUACAUGAAUAAAUCCUCAACUUCGGAAGAGGUGUGUUUAUUAGUAUGAAAACCAUAUAUCUUCGGAUAUAAUAGUGAGUAAUAAUAACCUUUCGUAUCGUAUGUCGUAAGAUAACGAUAGUUCUUUCAAGUUUCUGCCCUAUCAGCUUUCGAUGGUAGUAUAUGGGACUACCAUGGCAGUAACGGGUAACGAAG
rnacentral:rRNA from 1 species